UUCAUUAAGCAUCAGUAAUAAUUUCACACUGCAGCUCAAGCUCCUGUAGGCCUUGCAAGAAAAGCACUGGACCUGAGAUAACUAUUGUUUUAAAUAAAUAAUACAUGGGAAACCAGAAGGAAUGCCAGUGAAAGGGUGGUGUAUCAACAGUAGUUAAAAGAAAUCUGAAGAGCAACCAGCAUAAUAAAUUUAAAGGGUGGAGGAGAACUGCAAUGGCGACACAAUGUUUUGAUCAAAAUAAAGCAAUUUUUACAUGUAAUGAAGCACCAGCCCAUGAUUUUUGAAGACCCAUGCAUUCGACAACCACAGGCUGCCUUUCAAGUUUACAAGCUAAUAUAUUUUCAUAUUAAGAAAGGAUAUAUCUUAUAAUUCUCUUUCAACAAAAUACCAGACAGCUAACACAGCAAUAAAAAACAGAGACUUCUUUUUUAAACAAAAAAAAUCUCCAAGUUUAUAUGGGUGGAAUUAGAAGUCCGGCCAGUAAACUCUGUUGAGUACUGUUUAUUCUUAAUAUGUUGAUUUUCUUUCCGCUAUUACUCACUCUCUGCUUGGUUGCAACAUGAAAACCCUUCUGCUCUUCUGCUCUCUGACCCUCCUUGCCUGGUCCUCUGACUCCCUGUUUCCUAGCACAGACCUUGGCCGGAUCAGCAUGACAAACUGUUGUGCAUCAAUCAGGGGAGUGAUAAAGUGUAAUCUGCAACCAGCAUAGCUGUGCCAGCAGAAACCCUUACUAUGGCUUAAGGCAUAUCAGCAAUAGUGCUCUUUUACAGGAUGACGUUUAUUUUUUUUUUUUUUCCCAAGAGGGCUGCAACAAGCUCUAUCAGCAGAAGUGGAGUUUUCUCAGUCUAACCUGCAACUGGAGGAUGAACCCUUUGCCAGAGUGUAGCCCAUCAAUACCAGGUGCUGUUCCUCUUGAACUCAGUGGGUUCAUUUUAUUCCCCUUUUCUGAAGAAAAAGCCUCAAAAAUCUUGCAGAUCACCUGUCCCAGAGCAGAGAUGACUCAGCAGCAUGUGUGAGCUCAGUGUGAAGCUUGGUCAUGUACCUGAGCCCCCACCCAGCAGCCGCUUUUGUCUUGAUACAUCAGAGGAGCCCUUGGUGCUUUAUUCUGCUAGCCAGCCUCAGCAGAGGAGUGGUGACAAGCACUGGGGACAAGGUGGGGUGGUAACACCUCGGGUAGCUAUAUGAGCUGGUACCUGAGCCCUAUUAAAUAGCUUUCAGCUGUGUUUGUACUACAUCUUGUCUGGAGCCAGCAUGUGGAGCAGCAGAGCUUCAGAGCUUUGGGCAGCUACAACAGCAAAUCAGUUUCUGAUGCACGCACACUGAUGGUUUGUCACCUGUAAACAUAAAGAGAAAACAGAAAGGAGAGCACAGAAGCCAGAUGAGUACCUGGCAGAAGUCCAGAGAGAAUCGCAACUCACACAGUGGUCCAGAGAAACCACCACAAAUACUUCAGGCAAAAAGAUUCUGCCUUUUUUUUUUUUUUUUUCUCCUUUUGCAUCUCUGGUGUGCGUAUAGACCACUGGCUUCAAAGUAGUACUAGUAAUAAAGUAAUGGACAUGGUGAUUUAAUGGACAACAGUUAGAAGAGACAAAUGUGCAGCAGUGGUGGUCCAAACAGGGAUAGAGAAAGAACACUCAGAAAGCUACUUUUGUAGAGAAAUGCCACCAGGAGACAUAUAAGUAUGAAUCUAAUCCACUGAUGAGACUGGACAGAGCUAACGAUUCCUCCAACGCAUCAUCCAGAUCUGCUUAGGUAAUGCAGGAGUAUAGCCGCUUUUGUGCAAGAUGUUGCCUGUGAUGUGGAGGUAUACAAAGGAGAAUGAAACAUUUAAAAUUCAAGGCUGUCUAUGUAAGAGGCAGUGUAGCGUGAAUGGCCUCAUUUGGACCAGAUUCCCAAAAUGAGGUUUGAGAGGAAAAGCUGUCAGACAGCUAAUGACUACUUAUAACCUUGUGUUGAUUUGAAUUCAUUUAGAUUGGUAUGAACAGCAGAAUAUUGAUCACAUCUCUUGUAAAACAGGUCUGACAAGACAUUAUUAAAAUUCCCUCUUCCUUAAAAUAUUUUAUGCCUACACCUGAAAAACUAAAAGGAAGAAGUACCAUUUGAGGAAUGAACAGUUGCACUUAGGAAGACCUCAAGCUCUCAUAUUCUCUCAGGGCAGGGCUAGGGCAAAGAAAUCAGCGUUUGUAUUUUCUUCUACCAUGUCUGUAAUUCCAUUUGCCCAAGAUACGGAGGUUGUGCUGCAACACACCUGCGCUUCUGUCAGACACCUCUACCAAAGUCAGCGGAUGCUGACACAAGCUAUUUUGUUAUCAUUAAAGUCCAUAUAGCUUUGCCAGCUUGGCAAUAGUCUGCGAUUUAGAACGAUAAGUAGGCCGGAGUGCCUUGAUAUUUACAGCCUCAGCACAGUAGAUAUUUUCCUUUAAUUACAAAAUCGCUAUGGUUACAUUAAAUGCCAGAUGCUUUGUGUUACCUUCCAGUUCCAGUUCACUUCAGUUAAUGCCUUGACUAGCACAUCUUGACUGAGACACCUUUUUCCUUGUACCCUUUCUUUUCCCAGCUUAAAUGUUUCUUUGCAGCAGUUGUCUGUUUGUAACCCAGACCAAAGCAAAACAAAUAAACCAGAGUGGAGACACAGUGGGCUUUGGUAUAAGGGGGUGUUCAUUAUAUCCAGGGGGCUUUCCAAACAGAAAAGGUCCCUCCCCUUCUCUUCAUGGCCAUCAUCUGCUGAGAGACAGGAGUUCACUUCAGUUCAUUCACAGUCUUAUCAAACCAAGUUGUAUUUUUUUAAAAUGAUCUUUUGAGGUCCCUUCCAAUCCCAAACAUACUAUGAUACUGUGAUACUGUGAAAAUUUGCGAGCACGACACCUGUGUACAGGGGCGGGAAGCAGGAGGGGAGGCCAGCUGCGUUGUUCUUCUUGCCCUUCCGUUUUCCCUGGCUGGUGGUUAUUAAGGGUUGCAAACAUAGACUACAUGGAUGGUUUCUGAGAAAAAAACCCCAAAAAAACAAAAAACAAAGAACAUCCCCCUAAAGCAAGCAACCAUCCAACCAAACAAAAAAGCCACAACAGAAAAUAACUUCUCCAAGUUAGUGCAAGCAAAUUAUAGCAACUCUGUGCCAAAGUGGCAUAAGCCCCGCAGUGAGCAGGCAUGGCUUUGUCGUGAAGGACCUGUGGUGAGUGUUUCUGUCUCACAGCUAUUUCCCUGGCUCACAGUCCAUAACUGUGUGCUGUUGUGAUUGAAGCCAGGAAAAAAAUAUCUCUUUCGUGUCUGGUUUUUACAUUCUGUGAAUCUCAGUGGCAACCCAGAACUAACCUCAUGGGCCCUUAGGGAGGUUGGACUGAUGAGGUCAGAAAAUGAUGAGCAUUCAUGUUUGUGAUAAUUGUGAUUUAUUUCCCAUGUAAAAUUCACUCAUCUCAAUAAAGAUGCAUGGACUGUUGUUGAGCCUACAUAAACUGUUUCAUACUCAUCAAUAAAAUGGUUUUGGGGGCAUGUUGGGGGUGUAGCUUCUCUGGAACUGGUUCAGUAUUUAAUUCCUGCUAAUGUACACUACAAGAUUGUGUCUAAUUGAAUUUGCAAAAAUGUAAAGUGCCAUGUAAGGGGAACUCAUAUAUGAUUAGAUGAAUGCAUAACCCAGAUGCCUCUGUAAUUCCUUUCAAUGUCAUUAAUUUGAUUUGGUGAAUUGUUAUUUACAGACUAGUUUCAUCUAAAACAGAAUAAACCUCAAAGAAGGAACCAUGGUAAGUGCUUUUAGGAGUCUGUUGUUUUUCCGUGCAGUAGCACUGAAGAAUACUGGUAUCUCUUCAUAUCUUGUCUUCAGCCUUGUACCUUCAUUAAUAUCAUCACACAGAAAUAUCACAGCACUGACAAAUGACAAACAAAACUAACACAAGAAUGCCCAGAGAGAUUACUGAGACUGGUUUUGUUCACUUAAGUAUCACUGUAGUCCAACAAGUGUCAGAAUCAGUAAUCAUGAAAUCAGGAGGAUUUAGGCCUCAAUGUAUCACAAGUGUACUGGUAUCAUAGCUUGGCAUUCUCACAGUCCAUUUUUAAUUGUUUUGUGUAACUCGCCUCAUGUGUGAUCAUCCAAGUUGCCACAAGAACAAGCAGACAACAGAACCCAGCCCAACCUUUUGUGCAGUCAGUCAAUUUGAUAUAUAGAACAAGGGUGCCAUUUUUUACAUUCCCAAGCUGCAGAGCGAACCUCAAUUUUUUAAACUUUCUCUGGUAUUUUGCUUUCUGUAUUUUAUUCCCCUUGAGACAUCGUAGCUUUAACCCUCCCAGCCUGACUGGAUCCCAUUCAGCUGGAUUAAUCUCAAAUCUGACUCUUAUUAAUGAACUUGAACUUGGAAACCUGCUUAGUCACAAAAUGGGCUCAGGCAGCAGCAAACUCCUGUGUGGCAAACAAGUCAAAUGAGCAGAGAAAAAAUGCUGCAGAUGCACUUGGGUUAGUUAUAAACACUGAUGCACUGAAAUUAUAGAAAUGCUUCUUGGAGAAUCUGGGGCAGUUUCUCCUCUUGCAUUCAAUGGUGUCUGCUGUCCCUGGAAAAUGUUGUGUUAAAAUGCAUUUGUAGAGUGAAACAGUUGGUCCUGAGUUGGUCCUGUGUGGGUGUCAUUUGCAGCGAAUUUUUUACUUUUGACUAGUUCUAGCUUUGUCUGAGUGACUCUUAGAGGCCACAGAGGUACAACAAGAAAAGCAUGGUUGGUGGGGACGACCAGGAAAUUUACUCCAAAACCACACUUUGGAUCUGAAGUGUAGGUACCUCUGAGGACUGAUGAGCAACACGCUGCCCAAAAAUUAAAUCUUUACAUGGGAAGCUCAGCUGUGGCACUGAAGUUUCGCAGGAAUUAAGACCAGGACAGAUGCAUUGGUUUGAAGUCAAGAUGUAAAUGACAGGCAUGAAAAGCAGCCAAAGAAUGUGCACGAGAACAGAAGAUGGCAACAAAAAAAAAAAAAAAAAAAAAAAAGUCUUAGCUGAAAAGAGGGUUAUUUACUCAGAAAUGAUUAAAAAUGUGUGUGGAAAAACUACAUGCAAAGAAAAUAUUUUCCUGAACAUUUCGUUAUUUUUCCUCCAAAAAGCAUGCUGUUUUGGAAAAAAAUCCUUCAAAAACAAAUGAAAUAGGAAAGGCUCUGUCUUAAUGAACAUAUAGCACUUUUCCUCUACAUAGGAUAUCUGAGUGCAGAAUUUGUGAACACAAAUUAUGCUGUACAUUUUUUGUCUGCUUUGCCCCUCAUUAAGCAGUAAACACUGUGGAAAGAAAUGAGCCUUAUCUGGUUUGCUACCCGCCUAACCAUUAUCAGCUGGCAUCAGGUAAAGAAAUGAGCCUGAAAGAGUGAAGGAUAGAUGCAGUUGUUGGAAUCCAGCGAGGUCAAAGGAGUCACAUAGAAGAAAGGAAUGAGAAAUUUUCUUAACACUUCUUUUCAAACGAUCAGCUCUAGCAGCAGAACAAGCGCUGAAGUGUGUUUCGUCUGGGGACUUGUGUCUUGUGGCUGGAUUCUCAGGUGUCUAAUAAAGUGGAAGUAGUGAUCUGAGUUUUUUUCUCUCAGGUAGGCUGUUCAUAAUGUCUCUGUAUCAUGUGCAAUUUCUGGUGAUUGAUGGGUUGAGCAAAUGCUAGGGGGCCUCCCCACAAUGGGUGUGUUUUUAAUGACCUUUGCUUGGCAGUCUAUGCCCACAAAACUGGUUGGGUCUUAGUAUUAUUGUGGUUUUGAUCUUUGUAUCAAAUUUGAUUGAAAUUAACUAAGUGGUUCAAGUAUUAGUGGGCUGGGGGUGGGUAGGAACAAGGAGAUAUACAGGACCAAACACUCAGAUAAAAAAAGAUUUCAGAAGUCUUGUGUCCUUUAGAAGCCAGAUUGAAAAAUUAAAUAGAUUAAAGGAACAAGCUCUCAACAUUAUUUCUAAAUUUUUAGCAUUUUUCUCUUUCAUUUAAAUUCUGUUACUAAAGGUUAAAUGAAAAAUUAAGGAUACUGCCUGAAAAAAGUGCAGCUGCUGCGUGUCAUCAAAAUUGAGUGUUUUGCAUUAAGUUGUUUGUUCUGGAGUUUGACAAAGAAGCUGAGUUCGACUGCCUCUCCCUUUGAGAUCCUCACAGAAAUCUGACCAUGCAUCUUUUAAGGACAUGUUUUGAACAAACCCCGUCAUGGUACUGGGAACUGAAGAAGAAAAUACCUGCUUGACUGAGCUGCCCUUUUCAUGCAGAGCGGUGUGGGAGAAGCACACUGAAUCAAAGCCUGAGCUCCAGAUGCCAUGUGCAGUUGGAGAUGGCUUCCUGCCAACGAAUUUCCAAAGCAAACAAGGAAGAGCAAAUUUGUGUAGCUUGAAGUGAAGCCACACAGGGAGGCAGGGAACAGGGUGGUUCCCUUCAGCGUGGAAGGGAAUGUUAAAUGCUUCAGUAUAAUGUCAUUUUAGCCAGAACAGGGCCUGAAAGAAAGAAUAUAAUUUUCAGCUCUGGUCUUAGGCUUUCUGAGCUUAACCGUGCCAUUAGUUCAAUCGAGUUUCAGCUGGGUGAUAUAAUAUGAUGUUUCUGCCUUCUUUUAAAACAUGUCUCCAUGACUUGGAGUGGAUUUCGAUAUCAAUAACCAAGCUAGCACUGAAGUAUGUUGGAAGUAAACUCUAGAUCAAACUAGAUGGGGCCAAACAAACUCAAAUGCAAUUGGCAAUGAACUGUCAAUGGCAAGAUCUGCAGAUCCAUGAAGCUGGCUGUAUCAGGUGAUAAAAGAAGGUAACUUUUACCGUCUGUGCAAGUGUGUGGAGAUUGCAUGUAGGAAAACUCUGGCGAUAGUGUAAGUAGAAAUACCCUUUGGUCUAAGACGCUUGCUAUGGCUGGUAUAGUGGAGGAAUAACAGUGUUGAAAAUAAACACCAUCUAAGAGAAGAUUUUUUUUUGUCGUUCAGACUGUUUGCCCUGUGUGCUUAUCAACUUCAGGAGGUGUUUUUUAUGAGUGCUAAAAACAGUUCCUGCCUUGUCACCUUCUUCGUUGGUAGGAGAGCCAACUGCUCUCUUAAUCUGGCUGCCACAGAAGCACCUGGCUCUGAUUCAUGGCUUGGAAACCUCAGUCCUAGUUGUUUGCGGAUUUGCUGCUGAGGGUUAUGGUUACAAAGAAAAAUAAAUGAACGUAUCAGCUCUGCAGCAGUCCAUCUGGGAAAUUUCUAAAUGGGAUUGCACCUUCACAGAAUGACUGUGGAGGAUCACAGAUUGAAAAUGAUGGCUUCGGUUUAUUACCUCAGAGGUCUGGGUAGCAAGGAAACUUAGUAUGGGAUAACAAUUUGGUAUCUGAGACAGUGAUUCAUUCAGAGAUCAUAGCUCUGUUCUGUACCCUCCUCCAUCUGGUUAUCCAUUGAGCUAAAAAAAAUAAACCACAGAAACUUAAUGAGAAACAAAUGUUGCUGCUGAGUUGGUCUGCAGUGGGAAGCUAGACUGUAGAAAAUACUUCAUUACCAUUUCAGUCACAUUUUUUUUUAAUGAUAAAUAGUUCUGAGUUCUCUGCUAGUCCACAAGUUUGGGAACAUCAUCGUAGGACUGAUUCGUGUCCCACAUGCAGACUCGAGGGAGAAAACAGGCAAUUGAAUGGAGCAGCAUAGCCUCUGAAAUCAGAGUGAGAUCCUUCCAGUGGCAGAUGCCAGCAUCUUUGAACACACAGUAGAAAGGAUGCAUGUUGCUUAUCGCACGUAGCAGCACUGCACCUGCAAACUGGGUAUGUAUGGCUCUCUGAUAAUUGUUUACCAUGACUGCAUGGGAAAAGGGGGAAUCCAGAGACUGCCAAAGUGCUGUGGUCUGUUUCCCUGUGCUCCCUACAGCAGUGUGUGGGAUGAAUCUUGGGGAUCAAAACAACUAGCACAUGAAAUGAGGUGCUUCUUCAAGCCAAGCAGUUAAGGGGCACGUUCUCUGGGCUUUUGGCAGCUCUCUUGGAUGCCCACAAGGAUGCAAGUGUUAGCUUCUGGGUAAUAUAGCCAAUGUUAUUUAACAGGGGGAUGACUGAGCUGCCCAUCAUGGCUCUGGAGAAAAGGGUCAGAGUGUUAAAUUGUGUUGAGCCCCAUCUUUCAGUUAAUGCUUUUUUCCUUACCUUAAAAAGUAUUAAACCAGUGAACCCACUCCAAAUCAAGUUUUUAUUUUUUUUUCUUUUGUUUUGGCUAGAACUUGCCAUAUAGUUUUUAAUCAUGCAUAUGGUAAAAGCAAUGCCUAAUAAUUCUUCCCAGUGCAUAUACACAUAUACAUAUGUUACCAGUUCUUAUAUGUCUAAGUCUUCAGAGCUGUUUGAGAAAGCAGUUAUUUCUGAACCCAAAAGUUAGUGCAUCAAUUUGCCAUUCUGCCUCUGUUC